CCGACUAGUUCCGGGUUCGACUCCCGGGCAACCCA
rnacentral:tRNA from 1 species